GUCCGUAUGCCUUCUCGAGGGAAUAUAAAUGAAACUGUUGUCUUUAGUCUGAUUCCCAUCAUCCAACACAUCAGAAGUGUCGACAUCAAUGGAAGGGACAUUGUCAGGAAUGAGCAUCAACAGUAAUUUACAGAUCGCAAAUGCGAUAGCGAUAACAAUCAACGGCCACCAGAACGCCAUUAGAAGGUUUCUAGAAGCUUCGAAGAAGAUUAAUUAGGGUUUUUCACACUACUCUUAGAAGGAAUUUGAAG
rnacentral:misc_RNA from 1 species